rnacentral:tRNA from 1 species
GCCGGGAUGGUGUAAUUGGUAGACAUGUACGCUUGAGGGGCGUAUGGGGUAACCCGUGCGGGUUCGAGUCCCGCUCCCGGCA